UCUAAGCAAAUCGGCAGCAGGCAGUCUAAAAUAAAUAUUGUGUAGUGAAGUUUGUGUUGUCUUUUCGUAACUGGCGCAGUCGGAAAAAAAAAGUUUCGCGUAGUUGGGUCUUAUUCGCAUCAUUAAGACGAUACCCUUAAAGCUUCUAUCGGUGAAGUAUCCCUACGUGGAAAACAAUAAGUGUAAUAGUAACAAAAUUUUUGUCAAGUUCUUGAAAGGCUAUAACCAGCGCCUAAGACUAAACAGAACAGACCCGCUCCAGUUAGCAAACAACAGACCACAAAGAACAUGGGUGGCGGCCAAACCAAACAAGUCGACAAUACCGGCGAGGUGAUAAAUUCAGUAAUAGUUAACCCGGUAGACGUCCAGUCAAAACAAAUUGAACUUAUCUUAAUCAUAUUAACAUCGCUUGUCGGCAUUUCCUUUGGAUAUCAGAUCUAUAAGGACUAUCGCAGGAGCCUGAAAAAGAGAUACAUAUCCAACAUAUCCAACAUAAUCAGCUCGGGCAGUGCUAAAUCUCCACAGGUAUAACCCUGAAUCUUGAGAAAUGAUGCUUUGAGGCCAUUUUUAAA